ACACUCCUCAAUCAAUAAUGCCGCCUUAUCUGCCUUCUAAAGAAAGGAUAAAUGGAAAAAGGAAGGAAGGAAAGCCACCCGUCCUGCAAAGAUGCCUAUAUCCUUGUGCCGUUACCUUUCUGGAUUCUGCCCGUUGCCUGAAAAGCUGACAGGAUCUGAAGGGGAUCAAACUAGGGUCCUCUGGCUUGCAAGGCAAAUGUUGUAAGAGUCACAAAGGUGCCUAAGAGAUCCAUGGAAUAAAAAACAGUUGCUAACUGUUAAGUGUCUUGCCCAAGGGACAGAUCUUUCCCGAAAUGCUAGAAGCUAGUGCUUAUGGGAGAAAACAAGCCACAUGCUUCACUCCCCUAAACAAGUUUGUUUGGCCCAACUGUACUGGAUGUAGGUGUGAGGUACAUAGUCAGGAAAUAGGUAGGGAUGUAUGCUUGCCCCUGACCGGGAUGUAAGUGGGAGGUACACAGACAGGAAGUGCUUCAGGAUAUAUGUUUGCCCCUGAAUGGGCCUGCUGGGAAACAUGUAGCCUUAUGGGUUUGCCUUUAUAAGCCUCUGCAAAAUAUAUGAUUUGUAGACGUUUUCUGGGAACCCAGGAAUGAACCUGACCAUAGUCCAUCAUCUUGGCCAGUGUUCAAUUAAUGGCUUCAAAUGUGGCUCAAGACUGUGGUAGUGGUCUUAGUCUCACCUAGUGGCAUUAGCAAUGUCAUAUUGAGUUAUCACUUUUUAUACUUGGUCCUGUGUCCUAGAGGGAACCAUCAAGUAAAUAGUCAUCGGAUAACUGAGAUUAUCUGUAAGCCUAGUCAAGGGACACACCCUCAAAGGGGGUCUAUAGGUUGGUAAGAGACUCUGAAAUUUAGAGGAUUGCCCAUGUCAAAGCAGGGCCUGUUGUAGCUACAUUGGCUGGCAGAGAGUCCUGAGGGUUCCCAAAUAAAGCAAAGAUGUGAAUAAAGUGAAGGCAUGAGUACCCCUGAGCUGGAGUUACAGACUCUCC
rnacentral:lncRNA from 1 species